rnacentral:rRNA from 1 species
UCGAGCGGGAGCCCGGGGCAACCUGGCGGCCAGCGGCGGACGGGUGAGGAAUUCGUCGGAAUCUGCCUUUUUGUGGGGGAUAACGUAGGGAAACUUACGCUAAUACCGCAUACGACCUACGGGUGAAAGUGGGGGACCGCAAGGCCUCACGCAGAAAGAUGAGCCGACGACCGAUUAGCUAGUUGGUAGGGUAAAGGCCUACCAAGGCGACGAUCGGUAGCUGGUCUGAGAGGAUGAUCAGCCACACUGGGACUGAGACACGGCCCAGACUCCUACGGGAGGCAGCAGUGGGGAAUAUUGGACAAUGGGCGCAAGCCUGAUCCAGCCAUGCCGCGUGUGUGAAGAAGGCCUUCGGGUUGUAAAGCACUUUUGUCCGGAAAGAAAUCCUUCAACUUAAUACGUUGGGGGGAUGACGGUACCGGAAGAAUAAGCACCGGCUAACUUCGUGCCAGCAGCCGCGGUAAUACGAAGGGUGCAAGCGUUACUCGGAAUUACUGGGCGUAAAGCGUGCGUAGGCGGUUCGUUAAGUCUGACGUGAAAUCCCCGGGCUCAACCUGGGACGUGCGUUGGAAACUGGCGAUCUAGAGUACGGUAGAGGGUGGUGGAAUUCCCGGUGUAACAGUGAAAUGCCUAGAGAUCGGGAGGAACACUCGUGGCGAAGGCGGACACCUGAACCAGUUCUGGCGCUGACGCACGAAAGCGUGCGGAGCAAACAGGAUUGGAUACCCUGGUAGUCCACGCCCUAGACGAUGCGAACUGGGUGUUGGGCUCACUUCGGACCUCACUAUCCAAGCUAACGCGUUAAGUUCGCCGCCUGG